UACAGGUUGUGCUAGUCACCCUUAAUGUGAUCUCUGUGGGAAAUAUCUUAAUUAUGGUCUGAGUCAUGCCCCUCCGGCUACAUGACAAGAGCUAGAUGAUUCAGACUUAGGUCUCUUGAGACCUCAUUUUCUAUAGUGUACUCAGAUGUGUCUUCAGUGAGGUCAUUGUUCCUGAGAGAUCUUGAAAUUGCUAUUGUAACUAUCACCCAAUUUAAGACUGAAAGAACAUUUUAUUCUGUUAAUAUGCUGAAGCAAAUAGGUUGAUGAAGGGCACUUUCAAAUGCAUUUCAUCUUCAAUGUAAACAACUUUUCUUCUCUAAUUUCCUCCCAAAUACGCAAGCAAUCUAUUUCUCAAAAAAAAAAAAAAGCCUGAUUUAAAUGACUUCUUUGUGAAAAGUAGUUUCAUGGAGUGCGAAUUCAAUACAAGCUGUUAGCCUACGCUUUGCUUUCCUGAUUGAAAUUGAUGUUGCAGUGCCCCCAAGUGGUAAAAACACAUUUUAAAAUACAGCUAAGGAAAAUUUGCCCAAUGACCAGUUAGUUUUCUUCCUUAAUGAUUAAAUGAUUCAAACAACUCAGUUGCAGGUGAUGUCUUCUAAGACAAAUUUCCCCCAAGAGAAAUGUCCCAGUGGCACUUUGUUUUAUGCCAGUGUGUAGAGCUUUAAGCCAUGGGAAACAUCUGCUCACGCUUAAACUGAGACAUAUCAAUAAUUUACUUUCAUUCCCAUCUAAUAUAGUUGUUUCUGUUUUUCUGCAUUGAAAGUAUCUGUUACUUUGUUUCCAUCCCAUGGUUUCAUACAUAAGGAAGUCAUAUGUUUAGAUUGUGUUUUCUAGCUUGUACAAUAGAAUUCAGCAUGGGAUAAUCAGCAAGAUUCUGAGAAAAAUUACUCAUAUUUCCUCUAAUAAAAGUGAGAUAUGCAUAUGUGAGUAUACUCUAUGAUAGUUAUUAAAGUGAAGUUUUUAAUUU
rnacentral:lncRNA from 1 species